GGGGAAUAUUGGGCAAUGGGCGAAAGCCUGACCCAGCAACGCCGCGUGAGGGAAGAAGGCCUUCGGGUUGUAAACCUCUGUCCUUGGUGACGAAAAAAAUGACGGUAGCCAAGGAGGAAGCCCCGGCUAACUACGUGCCAGCAGCCGCGGUAAUACGUAGGGGGCGAGCGUUGUCCGGAAUUACUGGGCGUAAAGGGUGCGUAGGUGGCCUUUUAAGUUGGAUGUGAAAUCCCCGGGCUUAACUUGGGUGGUGCAUCUAAUACUGGAGGGCUAGAGUGCAGGAGAGGGAAGCGGAAUUCCUAGUGUAGCGGUGAAAUGCGUAGAUAUUAGGAGGAACACCAGUGGCGAAGGCGGCUUUCUGGACUGUAACUGACGCUGAGGCACGAAAGCGUGGGGAGCAAACA
rnacentral:rRNA from 2 species